ensembl:lncRNA
UGUAAUGGCAAAAUAAUAAUAUUGACAUCAUAUUGACUAGUGCAUUAGAUCACAAAGCAUCAAUGUCAAUCUACAUGUCAGGGACACGUGUCAUCCAUAUAAGUGCUUAUUUCAAGACAUGAAAUAUUUGUCUCUGACAUUCUCACUUUUAAAAUGUCUAAAUACCUAUUAGAUAGAAAAGGUACAGUACACACUGGGAAUAGCACACCACAGCCAAAACAGAUACAAGUAAAUUUACAGUUUUUCUCGAUUGCUUUCUCGAUGCUGAGUAACCUGUACAUUUGCUACAUUUGGAAAUGAAGCUUUUGGAAAAUGGGUAUUUUAUUGUGCAUGGACUCUUCCUUACAUGUUUUGUCAGUGUGACAUUUCAAAGGUCAGGUUUUUGACCAAAACAGCAUAUACAUUAGUAUUCCCUUAUCCACUAAUGUACGAGGUAUUUAUUACAGUAGUAUUCCCUUAUCCACUAAUGUACGAGCUAUUUAUUACAGUAGUAUUCCCUUAUCCACUAAUGUACGAGCUAUUUAUUACAGUAGUAUUCCCUUAUCCACUAAUGUACGAGCUAUUUAUUACAGUAGUAUUCCCUUAUCCACUAAUGUAUGAGCUAUUUAUUACAGUAGUAUUCCCUUAUCCACUAAUGUACGAGGUAUUUAUUACAGUAGUAUUCCCUUAUCCACUAAUGUACGAGGUAUUUAUUACAGUAGUAUUCCCUUAUCCACUAAUGUACGAGGUAUUUAUUACAGUAGUAUUCCCUUAUCCACUAAUGUACGAGGUAUUUAUUACAGUAGUAUUCCCUUAUCCACUAAUGUACGAGGUAUUUAUUACAGUAGUAUUCCCUUAUCCACUAAUGUACGAGGUAUUUAUUAGUAGUAUUCCCUUAUCCACUAAUGUACGAGGUAUUUAUUAGUAGUAUUCCCUUAUCCACUAAUGUACGAG